AGCAUCUUCCCGAAGUUUCAAUGAAAGUUGGUUAAUUGCGUUUGUCGCCUCCUUGUGGUCUUUUUCAAUGGACUUACGAGAGUAGGCAAAAGCUGCGUGGUCCUUUGAUGCCUAGGAUGAAUUGUGAUGUCAUAGGGGGCACUUUUCGCAAGGAAAGAAGAUUUUAUGCUAUGUUGAUAAAGUCCUACAGCGUCGCACAAUGGCAUCAGAAAUACAGUUGACCAUCUACCCUAAAAUAAUAAAUUUGAAAGCUACCUGUUCGAUGACUCCUUGCACUCGCAUCCGAGCUUCAAGGACUUUAUCGUGAGCGAUGGAGAAGUCGAGCCGCACGAUGAUGAUCACUGUGAAGAAGAGGAUGAAGAAUGCUCCGACGAUGAGGAGAGGUUCUUGGAGCAGGAGGAGACGGUUGAAAGAAUAAGACAC